AAUUUAGUUAAUAUUGUUUCUGAUUGCAAGAACAAAUUGCUGGCUCUAGUAACUAAUAAUCUCAUGAAUGUCAGUUGACAGGCGUUUGCAGCUGAAGAAUUUUUUUUCUUGUUUUUAAAGUUAGCAUAUAUGUUGAAUGUCAUUUCAUAUCAAUUAUGCAUGACUUCUGUCUUCGAUUGCUAUUUAGGAUACUGAAUAAGCUGACUCCAAAGAAAUAAAAUUAGCACAAUUUCAAAAAAAAAAAAGUUUCUGCCAAUUAAGCUGACUUCUGUCUUCGAUUGCUAUUUGUGAUGAUAAGUUUCUGCCAGUUGUUGUCUCUCCCUAGGAAAUAAUAGCAAGCUUAGGCUCAUUUGUUGAAGAGGCUAAUGCUGCUGAUCUAAUACAGCGCAGACAGCGUUCUGAGUUUCAGUCAAGUGUGAAGGGGACCCUUUUUACAGCUAUAAAGGCAAACCCAGAUCUUGUUCCAUCCUUAUUGACUUUGGCGAUGAAUGAUGCUAUGACUUAUGAUAAGGCCACAAAAUCUGGUGGCCCAAAUGGAUCUGUACAUUUCAGGUUUCUGAAGAUGUUGAGGAACAAAGGAAAGAAAGUAGUUUGUCGGCCACUGAUAAUUUGGUAAAUGAAGAAAAUGCACAGCUGAAAGAUGAUGAAACCGAGGCACCUGAUGGCACUAUGGUGGGUGAUGAUCUGCAGAAUCAUAAUGUUUCAAAUGCUGGCAAUGAUACAGUUGGCAAAUAUUUUUGUUACGACUUGCCAGUUUCUGAAGAAAUUGGGGUUUGGAUACCUGUCUCUGUUCCACCGAUGUCAGGGAGCGAACAUGAAGAAUGGAAUAGGGGUUUUUCCUUCGGUGGGGGCUACUUCGCUGAUGGGGACAUGGGAUGGAAUCAGUUUGUUGGAGAAGAGAAAGAGAUGACUAUGUGGGAUGUGGUUCUUGAUAUGCUACUUGUGGCCCGAGGGAAAGUGACUGCUCUUGCUUCAGGUGCUAUAAACUCUUUACUUAUCUAAAAUAUGGCUUUAGAAACUUUUGUAUUGAAUAGUUGCUAUCAUAUUUUGUAGAUGUAGUUAAUGUUCUAACAAGCUAAGGUUUGUAAGGUAACCGAAAGGACGGUUCUUGCAUGUUGAUUGAUUCUUCAUAGUUUUCUACUCUACUUGAUGGGUCUUCAAAAAGGAAAAAGAAAAUAUUGAUUGCUUGAAUACAAUGUUGGUGCAUCAGAUUUCUUCUU